UACGUAGGCAGCGAGCGUUGUUCGGAAUUACUGGGCGUAAAGAGUGUGUAGGCGGUGCUCCCAGUCUGUUGGUGAAAUCUCCCGGCUUAACUGGGAAGGGUGGCAGCGGAAACUAGAGUGCUAGAGGGUGGGAGAGGUAAGCGGAAUUCCUGGUGUAGCGGUGAAAUGCGUAGAUAUCAGGAGGAACACCCUGUGGUGUAGACAGCUUACUGGACCACUUCUGACGCUGAGACACGAAAAGCGUGGGUAGCAAACAGG
rnacentral:rRNA from 1 species